UAGUCCACGCCCUAAACGAUGAAUGUUAGAUGUCGGUUUUUUAAAAAUCGGUGUUGCAGCUAACGCGUUAAACAUUCCGCCUGGGGAGUACGGUCGCAAGAUUAAAACUCAAAGGAAUUGACGGGGACCCGCACGAAGCGGUGGAUUAUGUGGUUUAAUUCGAAGAUUACGCGCAGAACCCUACCCGUUCUUGACAUGGUCUUUGUGGGGGUGUAGAAAUACACUUCUUCAGUUCGGCUGAGGGAUCACAGGUGCUGCAUGACUGUCGUCAGCUCGUGUCGUGAGAUGUUGGGUUAAGUCCCGCAACGAGCGCAACCCUUUCUUUUCGUUGCCAUCAGGUUAUGCUGGGCACUGGAAAAGGACUGCCUGUUUUAAGCAGGAGGAGGGUGGGGAUGACGUCAAGUCCUCAUGGCCCUUAUGGACGGGGCUACACACGUAAUACAAUGGGAGUGACAGAGGGAAGCGAAAGGGUGACCUUUAGCAAAUCUUCAAAAGCUACUCUCAGUUCGGAUUGUUCUCUGCAA
rnacentral:rRNA from 1 species